UACGUAGGGUGCGAGCGUUGUCCGGAAUUAUUGGGCGUAAAGAGCUUGUAGGCGGUUUGUCGCGUCUGCUGUGAAAAUCCGGGGCUCAACCCCGGACUUGCAGUGGGUACGGGCAGACUAGAGUGUGGUAGGGGAGACUGGAAUUCCUGGUGUAGCGGUGAAAUGCGCAGAUAUCAGGAGGAACACCGGUGGCGAAGGCGGGUCUCUGGACAGUUCCUGACACUGAGGCACGAAGGCCAGGGGAGCAAACGGG
rnacentral:rRNA from 1 species